ACCUGAACUUAGAGAGUGGUCUAGUGGUUAGGAUAUCGCGCUCUCACCGCGGAGGCCGGGGUUUGAUUCCCCGCUUGGGAA